GCCUGCCGGCGGGGCCGGGCCGGGCCGGGUCGGGCCGCCCGCCCCGCCCAUCCCGGGCCCGGGCCCUGCCCGUCUGGCCCCGCGUAGCCGCCCGGGCGGCGCGGGGGAGCUCGGUGCGGCCGCUCGGGCUGUGAGGCCGGCGGCGAGCAGCAGAGGGCUCCAAGAGACGUGCGGUAAUGGCUAAGCGGAGAAGACCUUUUCAGCAGUGCUAACGGCAGCUUUUGCUUCAAAAGCGUGGAACUGCCUUCUCUGCCAUAGAAACCUAGAAGAAAGCGGAGUUCUUUCCCCAUGAGAUACUUCUCGGGUGUUCUUACAGUUCACAUCAAAACAUGAAGCUCAUGAUACUUAUUAAACCUCGCAAUAACCAGCUGCCGCAAUGUUAAUACCCAUAAAAAUGAAAUUAAAACCUCUGAAUAUGCUGGGAAAUUAUGCCUUAAUUCUGGCAGUUCAACUUACCUCCCUUAAGCACUACUACUUUGCCACUAAGAGAUGGGUCUUCCUGGAAAGACCAAAACACAUGGUUGUGUUGUGCCACAAGUGGAAAUGUUAGAGUUUGCAGCUCUUGCCUGCUUUGUGUGCCUGCUUGGGGAAUGGUCCUGCUCCUGUCCGGUGUCACGGGAGGUUCUUUAAAAUGUGCUGUCAUGAAGAAUUCAUCAGUCACCAUGCAGCCUUGCGUGUACUGCAAACUCUGCUUUUAACGUGUGGCCUGGUACUGUGGAAGAAGGUAUGUGAACACUGUAGAGGAUGGCAGCUUUAAAGCUCAGGAGAGUAGCCUGAAGUAUGGAAAGGCACAAAAACAGAGCUAAUGUUUUACACUAUUGAUGGAAGGAUCUUCCACUGAGACCGUGUCUGGACUAGUAUAGUGAGUACUGCUUGCCCCAGAUGUUUUCAGAGUGCUACUGGUGCUGGUUGUUCUCCACCUGUAGCAUGAGCUGCUAUGUGUUUUGACUGUUCCAACAAUAUAAACGCAUUCAUUCUGUGUAUAAAAUGCCAGUAGCUCUUCUUCCAAAAGUUUGUUUUCCUGUACCAUUUUUCCAUAUGUGUUUUCAAAAUAAAUGAAGGCAUCCAACCUUGUUUUAAAGUUAUUUGCAGUGGGAGUAACCGGAAAAGGUUCUCCCUAAUGAAAGAAUGGAAAUACAAAUCAAAGAAAGGGAGGGUUUUCUUUCUAUGUCUAGGAAUGAAAUCUAAGCUUCAGGAGUUUUAACUGCCAAGAAAGAAGAGACACUGUGACCUUUCUCUCAGGACUUCUUGCUGUGAGCUGACCUGUGUGGGAGUGUAGAAGCAGAGGAGGAAGAGUGGCAAAUAUUCUUUGUGACCUGUAUUUAAAGAUACAGGGGUUUUUUCCUAGACCUGAUGCUUCCUUCCAUCUCUUGCAUCAUCUAGACAAUAUAAAAGCAUAAUUUUUGUGUGUAAGAAUUGCUUUUCUUACAGGUAGCUCUGUAAGAACACUGGUAAAGUUUUCAGGAAAUCCCUCCCUCCAGAUAAACAUAACUUUUAUGCCUACAAUGAGCUCUACCAAUCUGCAAUAUUCCUGGGGAAAUGCAGGAGAAAAGUCCAGUGUCUGCUGUUGAUAUUCCCAAAGGUAAAGCACAGAUUGAACACAAGCAUGUGCUCAAUCCAGGACCAAACGCCUGCUUUGGGUCAAGUCUGUUUUACACUGUGUCCUUGCACCAGAGCCCCCGUCCUUGUUUGGGGCCCGCAGCGGCUGCUCGGUGUCUGCCCGCUGCAGAACCGAAGUGCCUGCCUCCUCUGUGGGAGCGCUGGCAGUGUCACCAAUGAAUUUAGGGGAUCUUCGGAUACUUUCUCUUCUUUGGGCUAAAAACUCUGUGACAAGAUAUUGCGGGGUUGUGUGGGGGUCGGUAUGGGAGGACAGGGUCUUUUGUGAGCAUCACUAUCAGCGGAAAGGUUAUAAUCAAGAUGAGGGUAUAGUUUAAACAUACUUAUAUUCUGCUUUCACCCUGUUAACCAGCAUAUAGAUUAUAUUUACACUUGUCACUGUUUUCGGUGUAAAGAUCAGAGCGUUCAUGAAAAGGGCCUCUACUUUUGAGCCAUCGGUAGGAUGUGGAGUAUGUUUUGCUCUUUGCUUUGAUGUUGUAUUUUCUUUCACACUUCCUCUAGAAUUCAAGUCUCAGUAGGGAACUUUAUUUACUAAAUAUUAAUGUAACUGGCUGGGCUCUGUAGAAAGGUGUGAGGUUUUGAUCAUUCACUUUGGUUUGGUUCCAUUUGUUCACAAGGGUUACUGUUUUGCACUGUGGGUUUAAUCUGACUUUUCUAUUCUUUUUAUUCUUUUAUGAAUUAGCUGCAUUUUUGUUAUGGCAUCAGCUGUUCUGUAACUUUUAAGGACACUUGGAAUGAAAUGAAAUGAAAACAGAUGUUCUUUGCUUUAAUAACAUUCACUGUAUGGAAUUUACUGUCUUACAGGAUUGCAUCCGUAUUUCUUUUAACCUUACAGCGUACAAAUGCUAGAACAUCCUUUCCCUCAAAUAUAUGCAAUUUUUCCUCUCUUCAACCUCACUUUAGAUUCAGACAUACCCAUAUUUAUUUAGAACUAUACCUGUAAUUGGUAGUGCUGGUUAUAAUUCAGAUUUCUUGUCACUUUUUUCUUAGAAAACCCUGAUUUUAGUGGCCUGUAGCUUUGCAGUCAUUUGAAGAUGGAGAAUUGUUUCAUAAGCUGACCAAAAUGGUAGGGGUGUAGGGUGAACCUAAAAGCUCAACUUUGCAUUUGUGAGCUCAUAAGACACAUGUGUGACAGCAUAUCUGGUUUUGUAGCCUUUAUACAUAUUAGGAAAUUAUAUAUGGGAGCAACAGUAAAAGGAUGUUGUCAAGAUUGUCUCCCAGCUCAUUCACUUAAAUACAUGCUGUGGAACAGCUGUGGCAGAAAACAUGAAUCAGAGAAGGGAAAUGCUGUGGGUUUUGAACCAACUUACUGAUUUGGGGUGAUCUGGUUAAUGGCUUUCAAUUCUUGGGGUUAGUAAUGCUGGCUAACUGUUAAGUGCUAUAGAAAUGCAGUUCUGUAACCUGGCUGCUUGUCUUAACUUUCCAGAUCUUUGGUUUGGUUGCAGAGUACAGAUAAUGUCAAAUUAGGAAGUUUAAAUAAUAAAUAUGUUUAAUGAUC